rfam:Gossypium hirsutum cultivar TM-1 unplaced genomic scaffold scaffold4676.1, whole genome shotgun sequence
AUUCCAUGAUGAGGGCAAUUCCGUAGCAAAUUCUUUGUACCUUUCCCAUGCCUCAUACAAGGACUUAUCAUCCAUUUGUUGGAAGGCAGUAAUCUCAUUCCUCAACUU